rnacentral:rRNA from 1 species
GAUGAACGCUGGCGGCGUGCCUAAUACAUGCAAGUCGAGCGAACGGACGAGAAGCUUGCUUCCCUGAUGUUAGCGGCGGACGGGUGAGUAACACGUGGAUAACCUACCUAUAAGACUGGGAUAACUUCGGGAAACCGGAGCUAAUACCGGAUAAUAUUUUGAACCGCAUGGUUCAAAGGUGAAAGACGGUCUUGCUGUCACUUAUAGAUGGAUCCGCGCUGCAUUAGCUAGUUGGUAAGGUAACGGCUUACCAAGGCAACGAUGCAUAGCCGACCUGAGAGGGUGAUCGGCCACACUGGAACUGAGACACGGUCCAGACUCCUACGGGAGGCAGCAGUAGGGAAUCUUCCGCAAUGGGCGAAAGCCUGACGGAGCAACGCCGCGUGAGUGAUGAAGGUCUUCGGAUCGUAAAACUCUGUUAUUAGGGAAGAACAUAUGUGUAAGUAACUGUGCACAUCUUGACGGUACCUAAUCAGAAAGCCACGGCUAACUACGUG